rnacentral:tRNA from 2 species
GCGGGCGUAGCUCAAUGGUAGAGCUCCAGUCUUCCAAACUGGCUACGAGGGUUCGAUUCCCUUCGCCCGCUCCA